rnacentral:rRNA from 1 species
AUUGAACGCUGGCGGCAUGCUUUACACAUGCAAGUCGAACGGCAGCGCGGGCUUCGGCCUGGCGGCGAGUGGCGAACGGGUGAGUAAUGCAUCGGAACGUGCCCAGUAGUGGGGGAUAGCCCGGCGAAAGCCGGAUUAAUACCGCAUACGACCUGAGGGUGAAAGCGGGGGACCGUAGGACCUCGCGCUAUUGGAGCGGCCGAUGUCGGAUUAGCUAGUUGGUGGGGUAAAGGCUUACCAAGGCGACGAUCCGUAGCUGGUCUGAGAGGACGACCAGCCACACUGGGACUGAGACACGGCCCAGACUCCUACGGGAGGCAGCAGUGGGGAAUUUUGGACAAUGGGGGCAACCCUGAUCCAGCCAUGCCGCGUGCGGGAAGAAGGCCUUCGGGUUGUAAACCGCUUUUGUUCGGGAAGAAAGCCUCUGGGCUAAUACCCCGGGGGGAUGACGGUACCGGAAGAAUAAGCACCGGCUAACUACGUG